AGAGUCGCCCGGAUCACCGCGUUGCAGCAAUGCACCGAGGAAAGUCCGGACUCCAAAGAGCAAAGUGGUGGGUAACGCCCACCCGGAGCAAUCCGCGGGAUUAGUGCAACAGAAAGCAAACCGCCAACGAAAGUUGGUAAGGGUGAAACGGCGGUGUAAGAG
rnacentral:RNase_P_RNA from 1 species